AAAUAAACAUUAAAACAAAAAAAAAGAAUGCAGAGCAGAGAAACCCCUGGGACAGGACUUGAGAGCUGGACAGGGCUCCACCCAAGAGGCGGGCCACACAGAGAAAACAGCUGGGGCAGAGAAGCAGGGGAGACAUCUUUCCUCCACCAUCUGCAAGCCCAUCAGAUGGCCUCAUUACUGUUUUUCAUUAAACUUGUAGCCUCCCCGGGAACUGAAUCAACCAAGAAAUCAUGCAGCACAUUUACAGGAGCUCACGCUGUUUUCAUUAACUCCCCUUAGUAUCACAGAGGAGGCUGGGUCAAGGGAGCCCUUCGCCAUGACCCGUAACUCGAAAAGUGAGCGUCUUCUUAUGAGAGCCAGCUUUGAGCAACUUACUGUGGACCGCGGAAAUGUUCCUUUUUCGCCUCUGCAGAAAGCAAAGCCUGCCUUGGAAUGUAGUGGAAAUAACCCACCACAGAAGAAAUAGUCUCUGAGCCCAAAAACUUUUGCUGGGAAUUUUGGCUUUUGCUACAGCCUCCUGCUGGGAAGGAAGAAACCUUGUCUCUUUCCACCACCUCACCUCCUCUUUCCAUCCAGAGGUCACCCACCUAACUGAGACAGGAUGAAGGGGGCUGAUGGGCUGGGCCCGGUGCUCCCUGGCCUGUACCUAUGCUGUCCAAUAGGAAUAUAACAUAAGCUACUUGAGUAAUUUUAAAUUUUCUAGUGGCUACAUCAAAAAAAGUAAAAAGAAACAAAUGAAAUUAAUUUCAAUAAUAUGUCUUAUCCCAAAAUAUUACCAUGUCAACCUGCAAUCAAUAUCAAACUUAUUAACAAGGCAUUUUACUUUUUUUUUUUUCAACUUAGUCUUCAAAAUGUGUUGUUUAUUUUACACUUGGAGCCUUUCUCGAUGCAGGCAGUAACUUUCCACUGGAAAUAGCUGUUCAGCUAACUACAUUUCAUAAAAUGAACAGCUGAAAAGAUAGAGUUACAAGUUGUGCCAAGUAUACUAGAAAUUGGGACGCCUGGGUGGGUCAGUAGGUUGGGCAAUCGACUUCGGCUCAGGUCAUGAUCUCGCAGUUUGUGAGUUCAAGCCCCGCAUCCGACUCUGUGCUGACAGCUCAGAGCCUGGAGCCUACUUCGGAUUCUGUGUCUCUCCCCUCUGUCUAACCCUCCCCUGUUCACACUCUGUGUCUCUCUGUCUCUCAAUAAUAAAUAAACAUUAAAAAAAAUUUUUUUAAUAAAAAAAGUAAAAAUAAAAGUAUACUAGAAAUUGUUUUCCUAUAGCUAAACCAAGUAUCAGUGCUCAGAAGUUAAUCAAAAUUAAAUAAAAGUAUUCUUUCCAUUCCUUAGGUACACUAGGCCACAUUUCAAGGGCUCGAAAGCCACAUGUGGCUGGUGACUACCAUAUUGACAGCACGGAAUAGAACCUUGCUGCUUAAAGUGAGGUCCACAAAAUCACAGCAUCAGCGUCGGCAUCCCCUGGGAUUUUAUUAGAAAUGCAGAACCUCAGGCCUCAUCCCAGACCUACCAAAUCAGAAUCUACAUUUUAGCAAGCUCCCCGGGUAAUUUGUAUGCACAAUAUAGUUUGGAAAGCACUGAUCUGUUGAACACACCAAGAAAUCUGGCAUUAUUGCAUCCAUUUUACAGAUGGAUAUAGUGAGGCUCAGAGAGGUUAUAUCAUGUGCCUAACAUCACAGGGCUAAUAAGUGCAGGAGCCGAAAUUCAAACUCAAACCUUUUCCAUUUUUAAGCCCAUGCUCUUUCUAAUAUUUAUCACCCAAAGCAUAGAACAUGUACCAGUAAUGGUGUGAAAGUUACUUUUUUUAAGUUUGUUUUUAAUGUUUAUCUAUUUUUGAGAGAGAGGGAGAAGCAGAGAGAGAGGGAGACAGAGGAUCCGAAGCAGGCUCUGCACUGACCGUCUGUGAGCUGUGGGGCUGGAACUCACCAACCGUGAGAUCACGAUCUGAGCCAAAGUUGGAUGCUCAACUGACUGAGCCACCCAGACGCCCCUAAAAGUUAAUUUGAAAUGGUGCCCAGAGAGCAUUCCAAAAGCUCUAAAGUGGCACCUGGGUCGCUCAGUCUGUUGAGCGUCCAACUCUGGAUUUCUGCUCAAGUCUUCACCCCAGGGUUGUGGAAUCGAGACCGAGUCGGGCUCCCUGCUGAGUAUGGAGCCUGCUUAAGAUUCUCUCUCUCCCCUGCCUCUCUCCCUUGCUCAUGCACUCUCUCUGUCUUUCUAAGAUUAAAAAAAUAAAAACAGUAAAAACCCCUAAAAUACAAAGUUUGAAGAUUUGUCCCUUUUCUAAACCCUCUUUUGAUUUUUCUAAUGUAUUUGUUUAUAUGACUGGUUGCCCAGCAUUUCCUACCUCCCAGCACAGAAAACAAAAUGGCUUCUUUUGACCUCCUCAAUUUGACAGUAAGGCGGUGGGCAUAAGGCUGUGGGUGCCACCAAUUGGAUGCUUCUGCUCCUGGAUGAAUACAGAGCAAGUGCCAUGAAGAAGCAAGGGCAGGGGCGCCUGGGUGGCUCAGUCGGUUAAGCAUCUGACUUCAGCUCAGGUCAUGAUUUCACAGUUUGUGGGCUCAAGCCCUGCAUGGGGCUCUGUGCUGACAGUGUGGACCCUGCUUGGGAUUCUCUCUCUCUCUCUCUGUCUCUGUCUCUGUCUCUCUCUCUCUCCCUUUCUCUAUGCCCCUCCCCCACUAGCACUUUCUCUCUCUCUCAAAAUAAAAUAAUUAAAAAAAAAAAAAAAAAAAAGAAGAAGCAAGGGGAGCUUAGGACUCAUUAUGGCCAUGGCCGUAGCAGCUCAGUGGCUGCCCAAAUGUCCUACGGUGGCGGUGAUUUCCCUGGCAGGAUUCAGCAGGGGCAGCAGAAAUUCCCCAACCGGGCUUUGACCUGGCUCAGGAACUGAGGCUCCCCUAGCAAGUCCCUUUUCAAGUGAGAUUGCUCUCCAGGUUUCCUGUGGUAUCCCUGGGUUACCCACCAUCAUUGCAAAAGCGCCUCUUCCCUUUGUGGUGACCAGAGCUGGUUUCCGUCUUUUGCAAGCAAAAGCCUUGACUGUGAGCCUGGCAUUAUUUGAUUGUCGGUAGAACCCACCAAACUACCAAGUCCCAGGAGAGUAGAGUCUGUGUCUGCUUGUUCACACGGCGUAAUCCCUGGGGCCCGUUCCUUUGUUUCAAGCAAGGUCAGUGCUCAAAAGUUACUUGGUGAAUGAAUGAGUGUUGAGCACACAAGAGAUGCCAGUAAACAACAUCAGAACAUCCUGCUUCACUUUCCCAAAACAAGCUGAACGUAUCCUAUGAUUUAAGAGAUUCUAUGUAUGAAAACUUGAACUUCAGAGAUAAAGGAAUUUCAAGCCCUUCACCCACUGAUUCACCCAAGAUUCCUUCCCUUAUUUUACUAGUGUUAAGUUUUGCUUUCUAACUAUAAACUAUUAGAGGAGCUUCAACAGAAGAAUAUUUUUUGUGUAGCGAAUAUGUGAUGCUUUCAAAGGUAAAGGAAAGAAAUUAUUGAAAAGUAACAUCUUCAGAGGCAUUGGCAACGUGACACUGUUCCACCUUGAAGACUACACUUACCUAAGAUAGAAACGUCAAUCACAGAAUUUUCAGAAAUUAGCACGCGGCUUGCUAAAUUGCAAAGCUGUGCUGAGCAGUUUACCAACAUUAUUAUGCUUUGCGACAACCCAGGAGUUACCUACUCUUGUGUCGCUUUGCCAGGUGAGGAAACUGAGACACAGCAGAAAAACUAAGUAAUUUGCCUAACUAAGGUCAAGUAGCUAAUUGAGAACCACACAGCUUAAAGAGCCAGGAUUUCAACGCCAGCCUGACUCCAAAGCUUAAGAUUUUAAGCACAUGCGAGACUUGUUGCCCAUAGGUUUGUGGCACACACUUGUAAUAAAGACUUUGACCUCAUUUCUAAUACUGGACAGCGGACAGCUUUCAGGUUCCCACCCCUUCUGCUUCUUUUUGCCACACAUCUGGGCAAGCCUAUGUGGAAGCUUGCAUCUUUCCUCUCUUGGUGCCCACAAGGAAGUUCACCGCACCCCAGCCCACCUCCUAACCGAACACACGAAAGCCACUCACCCCUUCCUUCUCUCAAGCCAUUUCCAGACCACCUUGGGGGACUGCCCUGAUCCCCCAGAAGCCUCAAUGUAUGAGUAAUAAAUCUCUCCAUACUCUUCUGGGGUUCAUGUGGCACCAUCUUAUCCAAACAGAUUUUGGGGUAGGAGUGUCAAUCCCACCCUUCAUGGGACAACCACAAGCCGGGACUAAAUGGCAGCACUGAGCCUUAGCAUAUGAAACCAGAGGCUGUUACGAGACAAAAAGACUAGUCGAAACCCAUCGUUGCAUUUACUGCGUGCCCAAAGAAAUCCAUUUAUUACCUUGUCUAAUUUUUGUAGAUAUUAUUGCCAAGGGAGGUAUUUCUGUCUUCUUUCAACCUAAUUUGGGUUUUUCCCUAGGAAGUUGUCCAGGGCGAGGAAGUAGGAAUUGGCUAUUGAUUUGUAUAUUUAUUAAACUGAAGGGUAGGGGGGGCCACCUGACACCCUUGAGCGUUUCGCUCACUAAAACAUUCAGCGCAAUGAUCCGACAGACUUUGCGUUGUCUUCUCACCCCCUCGAUGUGUCCUCACUAUCCUCCCUACUCCACUUAAAUUCCAUGGUCAGUCAUUGUAACCACUCCCUCGCUUACACCUCCAUUGUCCUCUCUCACUUCAUCAUGCCCUGGUCAAACUCACCUCUCUGCCUACUCACACCUGCCCCUGAAGGUGGGUGGAGAAACAUAAAACAGGUGGUGCUGACUGUAACACAAGUUGCUGAAGGUAAGACAACCCUCAGAUGGCCCCAUGGUGCUUCCAGGAAUUCAUACUCUGUGUCCCUAAUCUCUGUGUCCCUAAUCACUCUCCCAUGCUGUAACGUGCCUACUCUACCCCUUUACCUUUUUCCUCAAACCUCUAACACACCCUCCCCCACUUUCACCUUCAGCUGAUGACCUUGUUUCCUAUUUCACUAGAAAAACUGAAUCAAUUGCAAGAGAAUUUCAACUGAUCCCCCCCCCCCCACACACACACACACCACACUGACUUACCAGCAACUGCGCUCACACGCUGUGCCUCUCUGCCUGGAAUCAGAGGAAUUAUAUGUGCUCCUACUAAAGCCCCUGGACACUAGAUCUCUGUCCCCCUCACCUGCACAAGGACCUUACUUCAGCAAUUUGCCACUUCUCUCCUAAAUCAUUGGUCUUUUACUUUUUACUGGCUUAUUUCCAUAGGCAUGUAAAUCUUCACUUGAAGUCAUUUUCCCUGACGAGUCACCACAAAAUUAUUUUACUCCUUUUUGCAGUAAAAAUCCUCAAAGAGAUAUCUAUACCAUCUCUAAAUCCUCUCUUCACAUUCUCUCUUCAAACCGCUACACUCAGCUCUAUAAUUCCACCUAAACUGCUCUUGUCAAGGAAAACCAGUGACCUCCAUAUUGUUUAAUCCAAUGGUCAGAUUCCGGAUCCUCAUUUUACUGAACUGAGUGACAUCAUUUGGCAGUCGAUGACUCUUUCCUCCACGGCACACUUUUUUUUCAUUUCCUUCCCAGACACAACAUGUUCUUCUCUUUUACUGGUUACUCCCUAUCCCUUUUGACGAUUCCUUCUUCUUAAUGUGGAGUACCCCAGGGAUCAGUCCUCUGAGGUACUCUCCUCUAUAUUCGAUUCUCUCCUCUAUAUUUACCCACUUUCUUGGGGAUGCCAUUAUGACCUGAAACACCAAUCUAGAUGCAAUCACAUCCAAACGUAUAUUUCCAGUCCAGACUCCUCUACUGAAUUCCAAAUGUGAAUCCCCAAAGCUUUCUCGACCUCUCAACUUGGAUGUCCAAUAGAUAUCUGGAAAUCAGCAUUUCCAAAAAUAAGCUCCUGAUCUCUCUCCCAUCCAUAAUCAUCUCAACUGACAACAACCUUUCCUUGCAGCUUUAUAGGCCAAUGUUGACGUCAUCAUUAGUUUUCCUCUUUCUCUGACACUCCAUCUUCAUUCCAGCAGGAAAGUUUGUUAGCUCUAGCUUCAGAAGUUGUUCAGAAUCCAAGCACUCUGCACCACCUCCACUGCUACCACCCUGGUUCAAACCACCAUCACCCCUGUGUAGAUUACUGCAACAGCAUCCUGACCGCCUUACCUCCUUCCACCCUUGUCCUCUGAAGUCAAGUCACAACAGGGUGGUCCUGUUGAGGGUGAUCAACAUUUAAAAUGUUAAGGGUGACCAAGUUAAAAUAAAAUAUUUAAAAUCCCAUCA